rnacentral:rRNA from 1 species
CCUACGGGGGGCAGCAGUGGGGAAUAUUGCACAAUGGGGGAAACCCUGAUGCAGCGACGCCGCGUGGGUGACGAAGUAUUUCGGUAUGUAAAGCCCUAUCAGCAGGGAAGAAGAUGACAGUACCUGACCAAGAAGCCCCGGCUAACUACGUGCCAGCAGCCGCGGUAAUACGUAGGGGGCAAGCGUUAUCCGGAUUUACUGGGUGUAAAGGGAGCGUAGGUGGCAUGGCAAGCCAGAAGUGAAAACCCGGGGCUUAACCCCGCGGAUUGCUUUUGGAACUGUCAGGCUGGAGUGCAGGAGGGGCAGGCGGAAUUCCUGGUGUAGCGGUGAAAUGCGUAGAUAUCAGGAGGAACACCGGUGGCGAAGGCGGCCUGCUGGACUGUAACUGACACUGAGGCUCGAAAGCGUGGGGAGCAAACAGGAUUAGAUACCCUAGUAGUC